UAUACCAGGGUUUGCUGCUACCCCCAAC
rnacentral:sRNA from 1 species